AUGUAACACUGUGAGAGUAAGUGGAGACUGAGCUGUGUAGCUCCGUCUCUUCUGUUGAAACUCUUCAGGGUGGAUUUAGUGUGUGUUAGGGCUCAGGGAGGACAGGUUGAGGGUUAAGCAUCCCAAGCAUAUGUUUAUUUCUGGCUGAGUAUUUACAGGGCUUAAAGCCUAUGCAUUUUGUCUUUCCGCCUAGGACAACAAAAGUAAAACCAGCGUGGGUUUUGGCUCUCACUGUUGUUUUUGCCCUCUGUAAGGUUAUAUAAAAAACACAGAGAAAUUAAACUAUGGGAAAGAACAUCAGUAUAAGCUGACCGUCACCGCCUAUGACUGUGGGAAGAAGAGAGCCGCAGAAGAUGUUUUGGUGAAGAUCAGCAUUAAGCCCACCUGCACCCCCGGGUGGCAAGGAUGGAACAACAGGAUUGAGUAUGAGCCGGGCACAGGAGCGUUGGCCGUCUUUCCAAAUAUCCACCUGGAGACAUGUGACGAGCCAGUCGCCUCAGUACAGGCCACAGUGGAGCUAGAAACCAGCCACAUAGGGAAAGGCUGCGACCGAGACACCUACU
rnacentral:sRNA from 1 species